rnacentral:tRNA from 1 species
CAGGGUAUAGCUUAAAUAAAGCAUUUUGCUUACACCAAAAAAAUAUCUAUCACAGAUUAUCCUGA